rnacentral:rRNA from 1 species
CAAGUCGAACGAUUGAAGCUGGAGCUUGCUCCGGCCGAUUUAGUGGCGGACGGGUGAGUAACGCGUGGGUAACCUGCCUCAUACAGGGGGAUAGCAGUUGGAAACGACUGGUAAAACCGCAUAAGCGCACGGUGUCGCAUGACACAGUGUGAAAACACUCCGGUGGUAUGAGAUGGACCCGCGUCUGAUUAGCUAGUUGGUGAGGUAACGGCCCACCAAGGCGACGAUCAGUAGCCGGCCUGAGAGGGUGAACGGCCACAUUGGGACUGAGACACGGCCCAAACUCCUACGGGAGGCAGCAGUGGGGAAUAUUGCACAAUGGGGGAAACCCUGAUGCAGCGACGCCGCGUGAGUGAUGAAGUAUUUCGGUAUGUAAAGCUCUAUCAGCAGGGAAGAUAAUGACGGUACCUGACUAAGAAGCACCGGCUAAAUACGUGCCAGCAGCCGCGGUAAUACGUAUGGUGCAAGCGUUAUUCGGAUUUACUGGGUGUAAAGGGUGCGUAGGUGGCAAGGCAAGUCUGAAGUGAAAAUCCGGGGCUCAACCCCGGAACUGCUUUGGAAACUGUUUAGCUAGAGUACAGGAGAGGUAAGUGGAAUUCCUAGUGUAGCGGUGAAAUGCGUAGAUAUUAGGAGGAACACCAGUGGCGAAGGCGACUUACUGGACUGCUACUGACACUGAGGCACGAAAGCGUGGGG